ensembl:lncRNA
AGUUUGGCGUUGCAACUUGAUUGACCGUUGCAUGACUUUGUUUGCAUUUUGCAGUCUUCAACUCAUAUUGGAUGUAAAGAAACAUGCAACAUGCACUGAGCUUGUGGAAGUCUGGAAAUGGAUCUGCCUUAAAGAGGCUAUGGGCUGCAAAGGAUACUGGGCGCUUGGAAUCAGUUGUUGGACCAUACAAGUUAUUUGAUUCCUCUUUUCGAACACUGCAGGGGUCACGGUGGCUUUCUGAUGAGGUCAUUGAUGCAUACCUGCACCGUGUUAUUGAGAGACGAAAGAAUGCUGUACACCUGCUCUGUUCAGUAGUUGCAAGCUCGUUGUUUUCUGGGCAGUUCAGAUGCCUCACCAAGAUGAAGUUCCCAGUUGAAGACAUGUGGCUGUGCCCUGUGAACUUUGGUACACACUGGAUUCUUGUGAUUGUCAACAUUUCUGCACAGAAAAUACUGCUCAUAGACCCCAUGGGGAAUGAAGGUGUUUAUGACAGGAAAAUUCUGCGCAACUGGAGGAAUUUUCUGAGGAUGAGAGGGCAUGAAGACACCAUGGAGUGGCAGUUACACACUAUGCAACACAACAAGCAACAGGAUUCCAGCAGUUGCGGAGUUUUGCUGUUAAAGUUUGCAGAACAGUACCUUGCUUUUGGAGAGGUCAGUGAGGUGUUAACCACUACAGAAGCAGUUGUGCUGGAGCGAAUGCAGAUAGCUUGCACCCUACUUGAACAUCGAGGGAACGCUGAGGACUACUGCAUUGUUUGCUCUAUGUUAGAUGCUGAUGCUGACCGCAGCAUGAUUGAAAUGGUGCAGUGUGAAUCUUGCCAAAGAUGGGCACAUUUUGCAUGUGCAAAAUAUAAAGAGAGCAACCAAGAAUAUAAAUGCAAAAAAUGUAAGGAAAACACAUAACAACUUCAAAUAAAAACAGCUGUCUUUUCCCCUCCAUGUCUCUUUGUAUUCUUUGUCAACAUUAGAUGAUUGUGUGCUGGAGGCACGUUUUGAUACCUAAAUAAAUCCAAGCAGGAAGCAUGUUUUGAUAGUGUGAUUUGGCCAUCUGAACAUCCUACCUAAAUAAAUCCAAGCAGGAAGCAUGUUUUGAUAGUGUGAUUUGGCCAUCUGAACAUCCUACCUAAAUAAAUCCAAGCAGGAAGCAUGUUUUGAUAGUGUGAUUUGGCCAUCUGAACAUCCUACCUAAAUAAAUCCAAGCAGGAAGCAUGUUUUGAUAGUGUGAUUUGGCCAUCUGAACAUCCUACCUAAAUAAAUCCAAGCAGGAAGCAUGUUUUAAUAGUGUGAUUUGGCCAUCUGAACAUCCUACCUAAAUAAAUCCAAGCAGGAAGCAUGUUUUGAUAGUGUGAUUUGGCCAUCUGAACAUCCUACCUAAAUAAAUCCAAGCAGGAAGCAUGUUUUAAUAGUGUGAUUUGGCCAUCUGAACAUCCUACCUAAAUAAAUCCAAGCAGUAAGCAUGUUUUGAUAGUGUGAUUUGGCCAUCUGAACAUCCUACCUAAAUAAAUCCAAGCAGGAAGCAUGUUUUGAUAGUGUGAUUUGGCCAUCUGAACAUCCUACCUACCUAAAUAAAUCCAAGCAGGAAACAUGUUCUGAACGUCCUAGCGAAAUAAAUCCAAGUUUUUAAGUGUGAUUUGGCCAUCUGAACGUCCUACCUAUAGAUAUGUACGAUGGAGCCAUUAACCACGUAAGGUAGCAUAUUCUGAUAAGGUAGCACGGAUUGAUAGACAAGACCAUAAAUUUACGCUACGGUAGCGCUACGGUAGGAUGUUUUGACAAGGUAGGACGUUUUGUCAGAACACCGGAGCGAACAGGAAAGGGAAAUGGAUUUUGAACUGCAGUUUAUUAAAUUGCAAUUGGAAAAAGGAUUUUGAGAUGCAGUUUAUUAAAUUGCAAUUGGAAAAAGGAUUUUGAGAUGCAGUUUAUUAAAUUGCAAUUGGAAAAAGGAUUUUGAAAUGCAGUUUAUUAAAUUGCAAUUGGAAAAAGGAUUUUGAGAUGCAGUUUAUUAAAUUGCAACUGAAAAAAGGAUUUUGAGAUGCAGUUUAUUAAAUUGCAACUGAAAAAAGGAUUUUGAGAUGCAGUUUAUUAAAUUGCAAUUGGAAAAAGGAUUUUGAAAUGCAGUUUAUUAAAUUGCAAUUGGGAAAAGGAUUUUGAAAUGCAGUUUAUUAAAUUGGAAUUCAAAAAUGAAUUUACAAUUGCAGAAUUUAUUCUACAAUUCAUUAUUUAAGCACAGAAAUUUUUAUUUCGAUGCGCGUGGCUCUUGUGGUCCUCCACAGUUACCAAGGUCAGCAUUAUGUUGCUUGACCUCACUUUUCAUCCGGGCUUAAUGGGCGUCUCGUCAGCUGAAGCUGUCUGGGAAUCUCCCCCGUGUAGUGAAACGGGCCUUAGGUUUAACGCUCUCCGUCUCUGCUGCAUGAGAUCGCUUUCCUGCAGCACUGUUGACAUUUUCAGGUUGUUGUUGUGGGUGCAGCUGCUGCAGCAUUUGGUCAGGGUCACGCCAAAGAUGGUAGAGGGGAGAGCAGGAGUCCAGGUCAGCCUCGGCUUUCAGGGCUGGCAAAGCAGCCUAUAAUUAAGCAUAAAGAGAAAAAACAAAACAAAAACAAACGAACAGGAAAAUUAUGUUGUGUUGGCUGUGUUAUUCAGAGAGGGGAGAAACACCGGGCCAGGCCCUGUGUCAGCCUUCUCUCCCCUUUUUUGUUUUUUCUCACGAUAUAAUCAACUCAUAACCCACCAAGUUGACAGGACAACACAGGUACACGUUAAAAUCUUAAGAUCAUGUUUAAAAGCACAAAAAGGAAUUUU